AGGCUGCCUUACUAUGCAGUCGAACGGUAACAGGUCUUCGGAUGCUGACGAGUGGCGAACGGGUGAGUAAUACAUCGGAACGUGCCUAGUAGUGGGGGAUAACUACUCGAAAGAGUGGCUAAUACCGCAUGAGAUCUACGGAUGAAAGCAGGGGAUCGCAAGACCUUGUGCUACUAGAGCGGCCGAUGGCAGAUUAUGUAUUUGGUGGGAUAAAAGCUUACCAAGCCGACGAUCUGUAGCUGGUCUGAGAGGACGAUCAGCCACACUGGGACUGAGACACGGCCCACACUCCUACGGGAGGCAGCAGUGGGGAAUUUUGGACAAUGGGCGCAAGCCUGAUCCAGCAAUGCCGCGUGCAGGAUGAAGGCCUUCGGGUUGUAAACUGCUUUUGUACGGAACGAAAAGCCCUGGGUUAAUACCCUGGGGUCAUGACGGUACCGUAAGAAUAAGCACCGGCUAACUACGUGCCAGCAGCCGCGGUAAUACGUAGGGUGCGAGCGUUAAUCGGAAUUACUGGGCGUAAAGCGUGCGCAGGCGGUUUUGUAAGACAGAGGUGAAAUCCCCGGGCUCAACCUGGGAACUGCCUUUGUGACUGCAAGGCUAGAGUACGGCAGAGGGGGAUGGAAUUCCGCGUGUAGCAGUGAAAUGCGUAGAUAUGCGGAGGAACACCGAUGGCGAAGGCAAUCCCCUGGGCCUGUACUGACGCUCAUGCACGAAAGCGUGGGGAGCAAACAGGAUUAGAUACCCUGGUAGUCCACGCCCUACACGAUGUCAACUGGUUGUUGGGUCUUAACUGACUCAGUAACGAAGCUAACGCGUGAAGUUGACCGCCUGGGGAGUACGGCCGCGAGGUUGAAACUCAAAGGAAUUGACGGGGACCCCGCACAAGCGGUGGAUGAUGUGGUUUAUUUCGAUGCAACGCGAAAAACCAUUACCCAUCUUUGACAUGU
rnacentral:rRNA from 1 species